AGAGCGAACGCUGGCGGCGUGCUUAACACAUGCAAGUCGAACGAGGUUUGUAGCAAUACAAAUACUCGUGGCGAACGGGUGCGUAACACGUGGAUAACCUUCCUUCAGGUGGGGAAUAACCCAGUGAAAAUUGGGCUAAUACCGCAUAACAUGACGAUGGCACAUGCUGUUGUCUUCAAAGGCGCAAGUCGCCAGAAGAGGGAUCCGCGGCCGAUUAGCUUGUUGGCGAGGUAAUGGCUCACCAAGGCAUUGAUCGGUAGCCGGACUGAGAGGUUGGCCGGCCACACUGGAACUGAGACACGGUCCAGACUCCUACGGGAGGCAGCAGUGGGGAAUCUUGCACAAUGGACGAAAGUCUGAUGCAGCAACGCCGCGUGGGGAUGAAGCUUCUCGGAGUGUAAACCCCUUUCGACCUGGACGAAUGCCCGCAAGGGUUUGACGGUACAGGUAUAAGAAGCCCGGCUAACUACGUGCCAGCAGCCGCGGUAA
rnacentral:rRNA from 1 species